CACGUAGGGCGCAAGCGUUGUCCGGAAUUAUUGGGCGUAAAGAGCUCGUAGGCGGUCUGUUGCGUCCGCUGUGAAAACCCGGGGCUUAACCCCUGGCUUGCAGUGGAUACGGACAGACUAGAGGUAGGUAGGGGAGAAUGGAAUUCCCGGUGUAGCGGUGAAAUGCGCAGAUAUCGGGAGGAACACCGGUGGCGAAGGCGGUCUACUGGGCCUUACCUGCGCUGAGGAGCGAAAGC
rnacentral:rRNA from 1 species